rnacentral:rRNA from 1 species
GACGAACGCUGGCGGCGUGCCUAAUACAUGCAAGUAGAACGCUGAAGGAGGAGCUUGCUUCUCUGGAUGAGUUGCGAACGGGUGAGUAACGCGUAGGUAACCUGCCUGGUAGCGGGGGAUAACUAUUGGAAACGAUAGCUAAUACCGCAUAAUAGCAGUUAUUGCAUGAUAACUGUUUGAAAGGUGCAAUUGCACCACUACCAGAUGGACCUGCGUUGUAUUAGCUAGUUGGUGGGGUAACGGCUCACCAAGGCGACGAUACAUAGCCGACCUGAGAGGGUGAUAGGACACACUGGGACAGAGACACGGCCCAGACUCCUACGGGAGGCAGCAGUAGGGAAUCUUCGGCAAUGGACGGAAGUAUGACCGAGCAACGCCGCGUGAGUGAAGAAGGUUUUCGGAUCGUAAAGAUCUGUUGUAAGAGAAGAACGAGUGUGAGAGUGGAAAGUUCACACUGUGACGGUAUCUUACCAGAAAGGGACGGCUAACUAAGUG